UUGUUGUUGUUGUUGUUAAUAAGGCCGUACCUGGAGUUGUCGCUGAUGUUGGUGGAGGAUGAGGACGUGUAGUAGAUGCUCUUUACAUAGACUAUUGGGUAGAGCUUGUAAAGGUAGAGGAACUCAAGUAGUUACUGAAUGUGAGUUUAAAGCUAAUUAUGGUGUAUGGACACUUGCUGGUUUGGAUCGUAUUAAAAGUCUAAGAUCAAAAGGUUAUACAAGUGCACAAAUUUAUAGUGCAGUUGAGGCUGCUGCUGGUAUUGCAUUGCCAAUGCUUGAAAGAUUACAAUAUCUUGAAGAUGCUC
rnacentral:rRNA from 1 species